rnacentral:rRNA from 1 species
AGAGUUUGAGUCCUGGCUCAGGAUGAACGCUAGCGACAGGCCUAACACAUGGCAAGUCGAGGGGUAACAGGGGAGCUUGCUCCCGCUGACGACCGGCGCACGGGUGAGUAACGCGUAUGCAACCUGCCCACGGGAUCGGGAUAGCCCCCCGAAAGGGGGAUUAACACCGGAUGCGGCGGAAGAUGGGCAUCCAUCGUCCGUCAAAUGCGAAGCUCGUGGAUGGGCAUGCGUCCGAUUAGCUAGUGCGGGCAACGGCCCACCAAGGCGACGAUCGGUAGGGUUCUGAGAGGAAGGUCCCCCACACUGGUACUGAGACACGGACCAGACUCCUACGGGAGGCAGCAGUGAGGAAUAUUGGUCAAUGGGCGAGAGCCUGAACCAGCCAUGUCGCGUGCAGGAUUACGGCCCUAUGGGUUUUAAACUGCUUUUGCCGGGGAUAAAGUGGCGGAUGCGUCCGCUAUUGCAGGUACCCGGCGAAUAAGGAUCGGCUAACUCCGUGCC